rnacentral:siRNA from 1 species
GAAGGUACACAUGCGCGACAAGGG